rnacentral:rRNA from 1 species
AACCCUGAUCCAGCCAUGCCGCGUGUGUGAAGAAGGCCUUUUGGUUGUAAAGCACUUUAAGCGAGGAGGAGGAGCUCUUGGUUAAUACCCAAGAUAGUCUUGGACGUUACUCGCAGAAUAAGCACCGGCUAACUCUGUGCCAGCAGCCGCGGUAAUACAGAGGGUGCAAGCGUUAAUCGGAUUUACUGGGCGUAAAGCGCGCGUAGGUGGCCAAUUAAGUCAAAUGUGAAAUCCCCGAGCUUAACUUGGGAAUUGCAUUCGAUACUGGUUGGCUAGAGUAUGGGAGAGGAUGGUAGAAUUCCAGGUGUAGCGGUGAAAUGCGUAGAGAUCUGGAGGAAUACCGAUGGCGAAGGCAGCCAUCUGGCCUAAUACUGACACUGAGGUGCGAAAGCAUGGGGAGCAAACAGGAUUAGAUACCCUGGUAGUCCAUGCCGUAAACGAUGUCUACUAGCCGUUGGGGCCUUUGAGGCUUUAGUGGCGCAGCUAACGCGAUAAGUAGACCGCCUGGGGAGUACNGUCGCAAGACUAAAACUCAAAUGANUUGACGGGGGCCCGCACAAGCGGUGGAGCAUGUGGUUNAAUUCGAUGCAACGCGANGANCCUUACCUGGUCUNGACAUAGUAAGAACUUUCCAGAGAU